ACCCUCCGGCUUCCUUUUCCAGCAGACCUGAACACUGCUCUUGGUGGUCGUAAAGGAGGAAAAGGACCGCGAACAGCCUUAUAGUCUGGCACAGAGCAUGUGGUCUAGUUUCAAACAAGG
rnacentral:snoRNA from 1 species